AAAAAGUGUUUUGUUUUUAAAUCCAAGCUAUUGUGACACCAGAUCUAAUUGGUGGCACUGGUCAGCGUAUCCACUGUUAGCGUAACACACCCGCUUUAAGGACACUGACUGCUAUUCAAUCUAUAACAGUGAAAAAAGAUUAUUUUUUUUUUUAAAUCCAAACUAUUGUGACACAGGAUCUAAUUAGUGGCACUUGUCAGCG